rnacentral:rRNA from 1 species
CAAUAGCGUAUAUUUAAGUUGUUGCAGUUAAAAAGCUCGUAGUUGGAUUUCGGGUAGGAUUUGCCGGUCCGUCUUUGAGAUGUGUACUGGUAAGUCCUAUCUUCUUGUCGGGGACCAGCUCCUGGGCUUCACUGUCCGGGACUGGGAGCCGACGAAGUUACUUUGAGUAAAUUAGAGUGUUCAAAGCAAGCCUACGCUCUGAAUACAUUAGCAUGGAAUAACACGAUAGGACUCUGGCCUAUCUUGUUGGUCUGUAGGACCGGAGUAAUGAUUAAGAGGGACAGUCGGGGGCAUUCGUAUUUCAUUGUCAGAGGUGAAAUUCUUGGAUUUAUGAAAGACGAACUACUGCGAAAGCAUUUGCCAAGGAUGUUUUCAUUAA